rnacentral:pre_miRNA from 1 species
CGUUUCGCUGUCGCCUUGAAUGGCUGUGGAUCAAGUCCAUGUUAAGAUUUCGAAUUGUCAUGACUAGAUCCACACUCAUCCAGGUUGGCGGCUAGCCCUUC